rnacentral:rRNA from 1 species
AACGAACGCUGGCGGCAUGCCUAACACAUGCAAGUCGAACGAGACCUUCGGGUCUAGUGGCGCACGGGUGCGUAACACGUGGGAAUUUGCCUCGGGGUAUGGAAUAACUCAGGGAAACUUGAGCUAAUACCAUAUAAUGUCUUCGGACCAAAGAUUUAUCGCCCUGAGAUAAGCCCGCGUAGGAUUAGCUAGUUGGUGGGUAAAGGCUCACCAAGGCGACGAUCCUUAGCUGGUCUGAGAGGAUGAUCAGCCACACUGGGACUGAGACACGGCCCAGACUCCUACGGGAGGCAGCAGUGGGGAAUAUUGGACAAUGGGCGAAAGCCUGAUCCAGCAAUGCCGCGUGAGUGAUGAAGGCCUUAGGGUUGUAAAGCUCUUUUACCCGGGAUGAUAAUGACAGUACCGGGAGAAUAAGCUCCGGCUAACUCCGUGCCAGCAGCCGCGGUAAAGUGACUACUG